rnacentral:lncRNA from 1 species
GGAGACAGCGCCGGAGACGAUGACCGGAGACAAAGAACGACGGUGUUCAACGGUGAAGGUGGUUGAACAGUGACAAGAGGUAUCUGCGGUGGAGGUGGCAGGGUGGUUCGUCGGAAAAGAUGAUUAGAUGAAGAUGGUGGCGGAGGGUGUCGGAGGUUGGUAACUGUUGAAAACGGUGAACGAUGGUGAAAGAUGACAAUGGUGGAACGAUGUUAAUUUAUGUAUGACCACGGAUCAGAUGUGUUUAUGAUGAGUGAUGAUGAUUUGUUAUCCGAGAUGGACGAUGACGUAAUUCCGGGUGAUUUCGGAUGAAAUGAAGUAUGAAUCACGGAUGGUUUCGAAUGAGUUCUUAUGCAUUUCGGAUGAAGAGGUAAUGCAUCACGGAUGAUGUUGAUGUGAUUCCGGAUGAUUGUUGUUGACGGAGAUGAUUUCGGAUGAAAGGUGCAGUUGAUGUUGACAGCAAAUAAUGAGAUAAUGAUGUACGAUGAUGACGAAAGAUGAAUGAUGUAUGAAUGUUGUUGUCUGACAAAAUGAUGUGAUGAUGAGGAAUGAUGAUUCUGAAUUUUUUUUUA